rnacentral:rRNA from 1 species
UACGAAGGGGGCUAGCGUUGCUCGGAAUCACUGGGCGUAAAGGGUGCGUAGGCGGGUCUUUAAGUCAGGGGUGAAAUCCUGGAGCUCAACUCCAGAACUGCCUUUGAUACUGAGGAUCUUGAGUUCGGGAGAGGUGAGUGGAACUGCGAGUGUAGAGGUGAAAUUCGUAGAUAUUCGCAAGAACACCAGUGGCGAAGGCGGCUCACUGGCCCGGUACUGACGCUGAGGUGCGAAAGCGUGGGGAGCAAACGGGG